CCUACGGGUGGCAGCAGUGGGGAAUAUUGGGCAAUGGACGCAAGCCUGACCCAGCAACGCCGCGUGAAGGAAGAAGGCCCUCGGGUUGUAAACUUCUUUUAACAGGGACGAAGAAAGUGACGGUACCUGUUGAAUAAGCCACGGCUAACUACGUGCCAGCAGCCGCGGUAAUACGGAGGAUGCGAGGUUUAUCCGGAUUUAUUGGGUUUAAGGGGUGCGUAGGCGGGCUGUUAAGUCAGCGGUAAAAGCCCGGGGCUCAACCCCGGCGAGCCGUUGAAACUGGCUGUCUUGAGAUGUCGAGAGGUAUGCGGAAUGCGCAGUGUAGCGGUGAAAUGCUUAGAUAUCGCGCAGAACUCCGAUUGCGAAGGCAGCAUACCGGCGGCGAUCUGACGCUGAGGCACGAAAGCGUGGGUAUCGAACAGGAUUAGAUACCCUUGUAGUC
rnacentral:rRNA from 1 species